rnacentral:rRNA from 1 species
UACGAAGGGGUCUAGCGUUGCUCGGAAUCACUGGGCGUAAAGGGUGCGUAGGCGGGUCUUUAAGUCAGGGGUGAAAUCCUGGAGCUCAACUCCAGAACUGCCUUUGAUACUGGGAAGCUCGAGUCCGGGAGAGGUGAGUGGAACUCCGAGUGUAGAGGUGAAAUUCGUAGAUAUUCGGAAGAACACCAGUGGCGAAGGCGGCUCACUGGCCCGGUACUGACGCUGAGGUGCGAAAGCGUGGGGAGCAAACAGG